GUCAGUUUGGCCGAGUGGUCUAAGGCGCUUGACUUGAACCUCCCGAUCGCAUGAUCAGGGCAAUGGGAUCCCCAUCGCAUGUUUGGGCAUCAAGUCCCUUCGGGGGCACAGGUUCGAACCCUGUAGCUGACG
rfam:Penicillium oxalicum 114-2 unplaced genomic scaffold scaffold_3, whole genome shotgun sequence.